ensembl:lncRNA
AACGGAGGGACAAAAACAGAUUGAACACGAAGACGACAGUUAGCAGAAGGGUAGCCACCACAGCCAGCGGUGCUAGGGGUUAUGCUAAGAAUAAACAGUGAUCAUUUCCUGUUGCAGUUGAGUGGCAGUCUAAAAGCCCCAUCCUGCUUUUAUUCUAAUAUGACGAUUUUACCAUCUCUGUCAAUAAACAGAUAUUUUUAGGCAGUAACUUACGGUGAAUAUAGAGAUGAAAAUUAAGGAGCAGUUAAGGGUUAGACAGUGAAUACAGAGACUGAUCAUGAAGGAGCAGGUAGGGGUUUGACAGUGAACACAGAGACUAAUCAUGAAGGAGCAGGUAGGGGUUUGACAGUGAACACAGAGACUGAUCAUGAAGGAGCAGGUAGGGGUUUGACAGUGAAUACAGUGACUGAUCAUGAAGGAGCAGGUAGGGGUUUGACAGUGAACACAGAGCAGGUCUUUAAGGAGCAGAUUGGCGAUCAACAGUGAAUACAGCGACGAGUGAUUAAAGGAGCAGUUAAGGGUUGGGCACACAUUACAGCGAUAGGUCAUUAAAGAGAAGUUAGGGGCUAGAAAGUGAAUACAGAGACAGGUCAUUAAGGAGCAGCUAGGCGGUGAGCCAGUGAUCAAACCUAGAUUUAUUUCUCCUUCUUUCGUCCUUCCAAUGUUGUAAUGUGUCUGAAUAUUAACCAGUGGGAUUUUUUUUUUUUUUUAAGCCCAGGGCUAGGUGAGUUUACGUAACCCGGAUUACCGCCAUAUCUAACUACACGCUUCACAAAGUAUUGAUGACACAUUAUUAACUGUGGGUCUUGGGGUUUAAAGUUUAAAGGAGCGAGGAACAUGAAAGCAAACACGGUCACACUACAGAGACUCCUGUUGCCCUCCCUGACUGCUCCCUGGCAUGGCUUUAAGAGAGAGAGAGAGAGAGAGAGAGAGAGAGAGAGAGAGA